AUGAUUUUUCCUGUAUUUACUUACACUAACUGUAACUUGUUUCUCCCAACAGAAACAUGUGGAUGGAGUAGGGAUGAGCAUGAGGAAAACUCUCAGGUGCACUACUGGGACCAGACAGCUCGAUGGAAAUGCAGUGAGGAUUACAGAGAAGGCGUGGAUGGAAAUGUUACACUCUUUAUUUCCAGUAUCCACCUCAGCAGACACCAGCAUUUGGGCUUUACAUAGACAGAAUACUUAUGUGUGUAGUUGAUGGAAUUUUGCCCUUGUCCUUUUCCAAGGCACAGAGUGAGGCUUCUUUUCCACAUUCCAUGAUCAGAAGGGAGGACUGAAAGAAGAAGUCUGAGGGAAUUUUAUAGAAAAGUUUCUGGCCAUGUCAGAGGCAUUAAGUUCUCAUAUCCAAUAAGAAUGUGCCACAUGAAUAAAGAAAAAAAACCCUACCCCA
rnacentral:lncRNA from 1 species